rnacentral:rRNA from 1 species
GCAGCAGCCGCGGUAAUACGUAGGUGGCAAGCGUUGUCCGGAAUUAUUGGGCGUAAAGGGUGCGUAGGCGGCCCCGCAAGUCUCAUGUGAAAUCUUCAGGCUCAACUUGAAGUCUGCAUGGGAAACUGCGGGGCUGGAGUAUGGGAGAGGUGAGUGGAAUUCCUGGCGUAGCGGUGAAAUGCGUAGAUAUCAGGAGGAACACCUGUGGCGAAAGCGGCUCACUGGACCAUAACUGACGCUGAGGCACGAAAGCUAGGGGAGCAAACAGGAUUAGAUACCCGUGUAGUCCCUGUCUCUUAUAC